AAGUAACACUUUAUUGUAACACACUAACAUUUUGAUAUUAAGUAACACUCUAUUGUACCACUUUUACUAAUUAUUGGUCCCUGACUAAAGGUACCAUAAAAAAAACGACCCUACUUCAUUACCUCCCUAAACUUAUUUUGGCAUUUCGACCUUUCUUCAUUUCUUCAUUAGCUCCCUCUUAGCAUUACGUCCUCCACCAUUGCCCCCGUCCACCGCAACCGCCCUCCUGACGGUGCUCCACCAUAACCUUCUUCCACUAGAGCCCUCCUCCACCGAAGUCCCCCUCUGACACAUACAUUUCCUCGUCUCUCAUUAUUUCCCAUUGAAGCGCACUCAACGUUCUCCUUUGAGGCAAAUUCUGAAAUCAAUUGAGGCCUAUUCUGAUAUCCAUUGAGAUGAAUUCUCUCAGUAUCAUCAAGCCAACGAAAAAGGAUGCAUCCAGUACUGCUAAGGCUGUUAUCUCAUUAUUUCAGAAACUUGGGUGAAUUUUAUAUGGAUCAGAUCUGAAGCACCCCAAGCACCUCUUCAACAUCAUUUUUGUUGUCACCAUGGUCACAUUCGCAAUAACAGUUGACUUUAGUUCCAAAUCAACAUUAUUAGCCUCCCUUAAAGAAUUUGUAGCAGACAUCUAGUGUUGUUGUUGCUCUCACUGUUACUGUUGUCACUACUACAGCUAUUACUACUGUCUGCUGUUGUAUGCUGCUGUAAACUGCUUCUGCUGCUAUAUGCUGCUGUAAACUGCUUUUGCUGCUGUAAACUACUAGUACUGAUGUCUGAUGAUAGCUGCUGGUACUGUUAGCUUCUGUUGUUCGAUGUUACUACUAGUUGUUGUUGUUUGCUACUACCGCUAGCUGUUGCUAGCUGAUGUUACUACUGGUCUACUGGUGACUGCUUUCUACUAGACUGACUAUUAUUUUUCUCUUUCUACGGAGUAUUUUGGAAUAUGGUUGUUUAGAGACCAAAUUUAACUAUCUUUUUGUUUAGAAAAUUUAGACAAAUAAAAAAAAAAUUGGUGUUUAUGUAUUUUUUUUUUUUUUUUUUUGUAAUGAAACUAUGAAAUAAUACCAAUUCAAAUUAUUCUC